AUACUUACCUGGACGGGGUCAACGGGCGAUCAAGAAGGCCUAUGGACUAGGUUGGUGACCUCUUUUGCACUUUGGAGGGGUGCUUGCCUAAGGUCGGCCCAAGUGGUCGAGCCUACGUCAUAAUUUAUGGCAGUGGGGGGCCUGUGUUCGCGCGGCCCCUAC
rfam:Capsicum annuum cultivar Zunla-1 chromosome 5, whole genome shotgun sequence